rnacentral:rRNA from 1 species
AUUGAACGCUGGCGGCAUGCCUUACACAUGCAAGUCGAACGGCAGCACGGGUGCUUGCACCUGGUGGCGAGUGGCGAACGGGUGAGUAAUACAUCGGAACGUACCUUAUCGUGGGGGGUAACGCAGCGAAAGCUGUGCGAAUACCGCAUACGCCCUGAGGGGGAAAGCGGGGGAUCGCAAGACCUCGCGCGAUUAGAGCGGCCGAUGCCUGAUUAGCUUGUUGGUGGGGUAAAAGCCCACCAAGGCGACGAUCAGUAGCUGGUCUGAGAGGACGAUCAGCCACACUGGGACUGAGACACGGCCCAGACUCCUACGGGAGGCAGCAGUGGGGAAUUUUGGACAAUGGGGGCAACCCUGAUCCAGCAAUGCCGCGUGAGUGAAGAAGGCCUUCGGGUUGUAAAGCUCUUUUGUCAGGGAAGAAACACCGGCUCUAACACAGUCUGGGAAUGACGGUACCUGAAGAAUAAGCACCGGCUAACUACGUGCCAGCCGCCGCCGUAA